GGGGAUGCCGAUAUCUUCUUCCCUACCGAAUUCUGGUUAUUGGAACGUAUUGAUCAUUACUGUUCUGGAUGGAAGAAGCUGCAAAAAGAUGACUCAUCCAAAGAAGGAAAGAAGAGGCGAACAAUUAUACUUGAUACGUCAUCAUUCAUGGAAGAAUUUGGAUUGCCCUCGAGGACAAGAACCAAGGAUGGAUACAAUCCACUUUUGGAUGACUUCAAGAAUACAAAAUUCUAUUUAAGUGUCCCAACACAUAAUACUUCAUAGAAGGCUGGUAUUAGUGACUUCUUCAUUUCCAAGUUGGCUUUGUCUUGCUGAAUCUGGGUAUCAAAAUUAUACGAGCAUUGCAUCACCAGCUCAACUUUUUACU